CGGCGACGGGUGAGUAACACGUGGGUGAUCUGCCUCGCACUCUGGGAUAAGCCUGGGAAACUGGGUCUAAUACCGGAUAUGACCUUACAUCGCAUGGUGUUUGGUGGAAAGAUUUAUCGGUGCGAGAUGGGCCCGCGGCCUAUCAGCUUGUUGGUGGGGUAAUGGCCUACCAAGGCGACGACGGGUAGCCGGCCUGAGAGGGCGACCGGCCACACUGGGACUGAGACACGGCCCAGACUCCUACGGGAGGCAGCAGUGGGGAAUAUUGCACAAUGGGCGAAAGCCUGAUGCAGCGACGCCGCGUGAGGGAUGACGGCCUUCGGGUUGUAAACCUCUUUCGACAGGGACGAAGCGCAAGUGACGGUACCUGUAGAAGAAGCACCGGCCAACUACGUGCCAGCAGCCGCGGUAAUACGUAGGGUGCGAGCGUUGUCCGGAAUUACUGGGCGUAAAGAGCUUGUAGGCGGCUUGUCGCGUCGAUCGUGAAAACUUGGGGCUCAACCCCAAGCUUGCGGUCGAUACGGGCAGGCUUGAGUACUUCAGGGGACCGUGGGAA
rnacentral:rRNA from 1 species